rnacentral:rRNA from 1 species
GACGAACGCUGGCGGCGUGCUUAACACAUGCAAGUCGAACGGAAAGGCCCUGCUUGCAGGGUACUCGAGUGGCGAACGGGUGAGUAACACGUGGGUGAUCUGCCCUGCACUUCGGGAUAAGCCUGGGAAACUGGGUCUAAUACCGGAUAGGAGCCAUUUUUAGUGUGAUGGUUGGAAAGUUUUUUCGGUGUAGGAUGAGCUCGCGGCCUAUCAGCUUGUUGGUGGGGUAAUGGCCUACCAAGGCGGCGACGGGUAGCCGGCCUGAGAGGGUGGACGGCCACAUUGGGACUGAGAUGAGGCCCAGACUCCUACGGGAGGCAGCAGUGGGGAAGAUUGCACAAUGGGCGCAAGCCUGAUGCAGCGACGCCGCGUGGGGGAUGACGGCCUUCGGGUUGUAAACUCCUUUCGCUAGGGACGAAGCUUUUUGUGACGGUACCUAGAUAAGAAGCACCGGCUAACUACGUG